GACAGCGGGAGCGUGCGUGUGAUUGGCCGUGGACCCUGCGCGUUCACGCUCUAGUUGUGAGAUUUGCGCGCCGCCGCUCGCUGGAGGACAGGAAAGCGAUAGUUGUCAUAUCGAGGGGCAAAUAACUCAUCGUUUCCAAUGAAUAACUACCCCUUCAGCUCGACCGCCAGCUGACGCACUGCCCUGCGCGAACCGACGAGGACGGAGCAGCGACGCGACGCGGCGCGAUCGUGCGAGGAGUAUCCGGUGUUAGCAGCAGCUCUGGCCGUUCCUGUGCUCCAGUAUGGCUCAGCCGAGCUCGUGUGCUCAGAGCAGUAACGGUGUGGCCGACGAGUCUCCAAACAUGCUGGUCUACAGGAAAAUGGAGGACAUCAUCUCUCGGAUGCAGGACGAGAAGAACGGGAUUCCCAUCCGCACCGUCAAGAGCUUCCUGUCCAAGAUCCCGAGUGUGUUCUCAGGCUCUGAUAUUGUCCAGUGGAUGCAGAAGAACCUGAACAUUGAAGACCAAGUGGAGGCUCUUCAUCUGGGGACGCUGAUGGCGGCUCACGGUUAUUUCUUCCCCAUAUCAGACCACGUUCUCAUGCUGAAAGAUGACGGAACAUUCUACCGCUUUCAGACUCCAUAUUUCUGGCCGUCAAACUGCUGGGAACCAGAAAACACUGACUAUGCGGUUUACCUCUGUAAACGAACAAUGCAGAAUAAAGCUCGUCUGGAGCUGGCCGAUUAUGAAGCUGAGAGUUUGGCGAGGCUACAGAGAGCUUUUGCACGGAAAUGGGAGUUUAUAUUCAUGCAAGCAGAAGCACAAGCGAAAGUGGACAAAAAGCGGGACAAGAUCGAGCGGAAGAUCUUGGACAGUCAGGAGCGGGCCUUCUGGGACGUUCACAGACCUGUGCCUGGCUGUGUGAACACUACUGAAGCUGACAUAAAGAAAUCCUCCCGGAUGAAGCAGCCGCACAAAACACGGAAGUCAGUGUACGGUCUACAGAAUGACAUCCGCAGUCAGAGUCCGACUCACACCGCCGCUCCGGAAGUGAAAGAGCCCACGGAGGACGAGCUUCGCAACCAGAUCCAGAACUGGCAAACACAGCUGGACAGACACUGCUUAAAGAUGUCCAAAGUCGCAGAGAGUUUGUUGAGUUUCUCGGAGCAGUACAUCGAGUACGAUCCGUUCUUCACGACGCCUGAGCCGUCGAACCCCUGGAUCUCUGAUGAUGUCACUUCCUGGGAGCUGGAGGCCAGUAAAGAGGCCGGGCAGCACCGAGUCAAGCGCUGGGGAUUCUGCUUCGACGAGGUUCUGAAGGAUCCGGCCGGGAGAGAACAGUUCCUCAAGUUCCUGGAGUCCGAGUUCAGCUCCGAGAACCUGAGGUUCUGGCUGGCGGUGCAGGAGCUGAAGAAGCGUCCGAUCCGAGAGGUUCCCAGCAGGGUGCAGGAGAUCUGGGAAGAGUUCCUGGCUCCUGGAGCUCCGAGUGCCAUCAACGUCGACUCCAGGAGCUACGACAAAACCACGCAGAACAUCAAGGAUCCCGGCCGAUACGCUUUCCAAGACGCUCAGGAGCACAUCUAUAAGCUGAUGAAGAGUGACUCCUACAGCCGCUUCAUCCGAUCCAGCGCUUACCAGGAGCUGCUGCAGGCCAAGAAGAAGGUAAAGCCUCUGAAGCGGCUGGAGACGGCCAUCUGAAUGUGUUUAUUUGGCUUCUGAGCCCUCGUCUCCGUCACGAUGCUUCUGCCGCGUCUCUUUUGUUUUGCACGUGUUUCUCUUUGUUUCUUCUGUUCUGUUCUGUUCUGUUCUGUUGUGUCUGUUUUGUUUUGAAGUGAUGAGACAGGAAGUGCUGAUUGGCUGGUUUUUCUGUGAUGUGAAAAGCAAGAAUCUUUUCUAGGAUCUGCAUCACAGAUGCGGUCAGCGAGCGAAGCUUGUAUAAUCACACACACACACGUCACACGUCUGUUCAUUACUGCUGAUCACCAGCUGGACACACAUCUCCUGGAUCCUCUGAGAAUCCUUCAUUCUGUCAGUCUGAAGACACACACACACACACACUGCUGUCACCGUUGAUUUGCCUUUGCGCUUCACUCCAUCUGAGCUCUUACAGUUAUUUUUAUAUCUAAGAACUGUUCGGCUGUUUUCUGUGAGCUUUGCUUCUGUAAAUG